AUGGCUACAGCUUGUUAUAUUUGGGGUAGAAGUCCACGGUGAAACCACUGACCAAGAAUUUGAAAAGGAAGACUCACACUCACCCUCCCUGGGAUUUUUAUUUGCUAUUUUAUGGUGUCUGGGGGAGGAUAGAAGAUGUACCUGAUACUGACAACAGAGAUCACAGCAAAGAAGAUUGGACUUUUCGCUGAAGGAGUUAAAAUAGGCAUGUAGGAGUUAAUUAUUUUGAAGAGAAUAAAGAUGAUUUGUACACCCUCACCUCAUCCACAGAACAAGAUGUCUGCAUCGCGGCAAUGGUGGCAAAACUGUUGGGAGGCAACCAACCACAUUCUGGAUUUGGGGUCCACUUCAAAGAAGGAGUCCAUCGCUGGGAUCAGAAACUCAAUAAAAAUACUCAUGAUUGAAGAACUCCUAUGCCUUGGACAGAGGUCAGAAGUAUUUACCGUUGCUUAACUAAGUUGGCAGGUUGUCAAACUGCCUUCUUAGUAUUUAUUUUUAAAUUAAUAGAAUAAUUAUACUCUCAGCUUUAAUCAGAGAAGUUUUUCUUUCCAAUGAAUAUUGGAAUACACAGACUCUAAACUA